rnacentral:rRNA from 1 species
CCUACGGGAGGCAGCAGUGAGGAAUAUUGGUCAAUGGACGGAAGGCUGAACCAGCCAAGUAGCGUGAAGGACGACUGCCCUAUGGGUUGUAAACCUCUUUUAUAAGGGAAGAAUAAAUUCUACGUGUAGCAUGUUGCCUGUACCUUAUGAAUAAGCAUCGGCUAACUCCGUGCCAGCAGCCGCGGUAAUACGGAGGAUGCGAGCGUUAUCCGGAUUUAUUGGGUUUAAAGGGUGCGUAGGCGGUUUUUUAAGUUAGUGUUUAAAUGUCGGGGCUUCACCUUGAAUUGCCAUUAAUACUGGCAGACUUGAGUUCAGUCGAGGUAGGCGGAAUACGUGAUGUAGCGGUGAAAUGCUUAGAUAUAACUUAGAACUCCGAUAGCGAAGGCAGUUCACUGGACUGCGACUGACGCUGAGGCACGAGAGUGUGGGUAGCGAACAGGAUUAGAUACCCGGGUAGUC